rnacentral:rRNA from 1 species
UUCCAGACUCCUACGGGAGGCAGCAGUGGGGAAUAUUGCACAAUGGGCGAAAGCCUGAUGCAGCAACGCCGCGUGAAGGAAGAAGGGUUUCGGCUCGUAAACUUCUAUCAACAGGGACGAAAGAAAUGACGGUACCUGAAUAAGAAGCCACGGCUAACUACGUGCCAGCAGCCGCGGUAAUACGUAGGUGGCAAGCGUUAUCCGGAAUUACUGGGUGUAAAGGGUGUGUAGGCGGGGCUGCAAGUCAGAUGUGAAAAUUAUGGGCUCAACCCAUAACCUGCGUCUGAAACUGUAGCUCUUGAGAGUGGGAGAGGUAAACGGAAUUCCAGGUGUAGCGGUGAAAUGCGUAGAUAUCGGGAGGAACACCAGUGGCGAAGGCGGUUUACUGGACCACAACUGACGCUGAGACACGAAAGCGUGGGGAGCAAACAGGAUUAGAUACCCGUGUA